CGCAGAUCAGGCUGAAGAAGGAUGGAUCCACAUGCUUAGAGGAGAUCAAGAAAUGCAGAAGAGAGAUGCAGCAGAGAAAUGCCACAGAAAGGGGAGCUGGAGAGAAUCAAAGCAUGAGAGGAAUUCAACCUGCUGUCACUGGAAGGGGUCCAGAUGGAACGCUUGAGAAGAAACGUGUGUAGCAUCUAGGAGUAAAGACUCGCCCUGGCUGACAGCUAGUAAGGAAAUGGGAACCUCAGUGCUGCAGCCUCAAAGAAUUGACUUUAACCCACAGCCUGAGGGCACUUAGAAGCGGAUGCAUUCACAAAUCUUCCAGAAGGGAAUGGAGCCCCAUUGACACCUUGAUUUUAACCUUCUGAGAUUCUAAGCAGG
rnacentral:lncRNA from 1 species